rnacentral:pre_miRNA from 1 species
AUGUAGGGCAAUAUGUCUUUAAGUAGAGAAAAAUUACUCUUGAAAAAAUCCAAUUCUAUGUAGAUUUCCUGUCAAGUUAAGAGUCUCAU